GAUGAAGAACGUAGCGAAAUGCGAUAAGUAGUGUGAAUUGCAGAUUUCAGUGAAUCAUCGAAUCUUUGAACGCACAUUGCGCCCCUUGGUAUUCCAUGGGGCAUGCCUGUUCGAGCGUCAUUUGUACCUUCAAGCUUUGCUUGGUGUUGGGUGUUUGUCUCGCCUUUGCGUGUAGACUCGCCUUAAAACAAUUGGCAGCCGGCGUAUUGAUUUCGGAGCGCAGUACAUCUCGCGCUUUGCACUCAUAACGACGACGUCCAAAAGUACAUUUUUACACUCUUGACCUCGGAUCAGGUAGGGAUACCCGCUGAACUUAAGCAUAUCAAUAAGCGGAGGA
rnacentral:misc_RNA from 1 species